rnacentral:tRNA from 1 species
UAUAAAAUGGCCGAACUAUAAGCAAUGGAUUGUAAAUCUAUUUAUGGGUUAUUUAACCCUUUUAUAA